CAGGGGCCCAACGUUGACUGAUUCACUGGCUCUGUUCAAGAGGAGCCCGUCUGCACGCGUGAAGUUUGCCGCCGCUUUUAUAGAGAGCGGCGCAGACGUCGAGGAAGAGAAGCGAUGCGCCGAGCUGCUUGUGAGCGGACUGGACGACCCCUCGAGGUCCGUGGUUUCCAGCUCCCUGGGCGAGCUCAGGCAGGUGAUGCCACGUCUGGCACACCCGGCAACGCUGGAGUGCGUGGCCGAGGGAACGUUCCGGUUCCUCUGUCACUCCCGGUGGGUCAGGCAGAGCCGGCUCCUCGCUGUCGCGCUGGAGUGCUUUGGGAUGGCCCUGGCGGGAACAG